rnacentral:tRNA from 1 species
GCCUGGUUGGCUCAGUCAGUUGAGCAUCUGACUUCAGCUCAGGUCAUGAUCUCGUGGUUCACGGGUUCGAGCCUCACAUCAGGUU